AUUGAACGCUGGCGGCAGGCUUAACACAUGCAAGUCGAGCGGGGUGAUGGUGCUUGCACUAUCACUUAGCGGCGGACGGGUGAGUAAUGCUUAGGAAUCUGCCUAUUAGUGGGGGACAACAUCUCGAAAGGGAUGCUAAUACCGCAUACGUCCUACGGGAGAAAGCAGGGGAUCACUUGUGACCUUGCGCUAAUAGAUGAGCCUAAGUCGGAUUAGCUAGUUGGUGGGGUAAAGGCCUACCAAGGCGACUAUCUGUAGCGGGUCUGAGAGGAUAAUCGGCCACGCUGGGACUGAGACACGGCCCCGACUCCUACGGGAGGAAGCAGUGGGGAAUAUUGGACAAUGGGGGGGAACCCUGAUCCAGCCAUGCCGCGUGUGUGAAGAAGGCCUUAUGGUUGUAAAGCACUUUAAGCGAGGAGGAGGCUCUUUUGGUUAAUACCCAAGAUGAGUGGACGUUACUCGCAGAAUAAGCACCGGCUAACUCUGUGCCAGCCGCCGCCGUAA
rnacentral:rRNA from 1 species